rnacentral:rRNA from 1 species
CCUACGGGAGGCUGCAGUGAGGAAUAUUGGUCAAUGGACGAGAGUCUGAACCAGCCAAGUAGCGUGAAGGAUGACUGCCCUAUGGGUUGUAAACUUCUUUUAUAAAGGAAUAAAACGAGGCACGUGUGCCUUUUUGCAUGUACUUUAUGAAUAAGGAUCGGCUAACUCCGUGCCAGCAGCCGCGGUAAUACGGAGGAUCCGAGCGUUAUCCGGAUUUAUUGGGUUUAAAGGGAGCGUAGAUGGGUUGUUAAGUCAGUUGUGAAAGUUUGCGGCUCAACCGUAAAAUUGCAAUUGAUACUGGCAUUCUUGAGUACAGUUGAGGUAAGCGGAAUUCGUGGUGUAGCGGUGAAAUGCUUAGAUAUCACGAAGAACCCCGAUUGCGAAGGCAGCUUACUAAACUGUGACUGACAUUGAUGCUCGAAAGUGUGGGUAUCAAACAGGAUUAGAUACCCGGGUAGUC